AACGAACGCUGGCGGCAUGCCUAACACAUGCAAGUCGAACGAGAUCUUCGGGUCUAGUGGCGCACGGGUGCGUAACGCGUGGGAAUCUGCCCUUUGGUUCGGAAUAACAGUUGGAAACGACUGCUAAUACCGGAUGAUGACGAAAGUCCAAAGAUUUAUCGCCAGAGGAUGAGCCCGCGUAGGAUUAGCUAGUUGGUGUGGUAAAGGCGAACCAAGGCGACGAUCCUUAGCUGGUCUGAGAGGAUGAUCAGCCACACUGGGACUGAGACACGGCCCAGACUCCUACGGGAGGCAGCAGUGGGGAUUAUUGGACAAUGGGCGAAAGCCUGAUCCAGCAAUGCCGCGUGAGUGAUGAAGGCCUUAGGGUUGUAAAGCUCUUUUACCCGGGAUGAUAAUGACAGUACCGGGAGAAUAAGCUCCGGCUAACUCCGUGCCAGCCGCCGCAGUAAGAC
rnacentral:rRNA from 1 species